ACUGUCAAGACAUAAGAAAACAGAAAAUUAGAACAAUUAAAAACAAAACAAAAACCCUUCAUUUAACAAGGAGCCCUAAGGCAGCUUCCCAGGCGGAAGCCACCCCUGGUAGUUAAGAGAAGGAGAGAAACUGCCUAUUCCUGGCUUCGGGACAUUGGGGGCUGGGGCCGGGGCCGGGGCCAUCUGUUUGCUCUGGCUCUCUAGACUGUGGGCAGGCUACUUGGUCAGUGCUUCCCACAGCCGGAGGGACUCAGGUGGGUCUUGCUCUGUGCAGCCCUCCUCUCUGAGCCAGCCUGACCAUCUCAGACAAGAUGGCCCUCAGAUGGGGCAUGAGUGCUCAGCCUAACAAAGCUCCUAUUGAGAGUGAGAGGCCGGUCAUGCACAAUAGGCCAGGCCUCACAUGCUUAGCAUGUUCAUUGUCCUUCCUAGCCAUUCAUGUGGGACUCACAGAGACCUGGGAUUUACCCCUCUUGACUCUUCUUCCCUACAGCUGGCCUGUAGUAUACUUCUAAGGUUCUUUAUGUAAGUGAUCUGCCCCACAUUGUUGUUGCAUACUUAAACUCUUCUCAGCCAAACUUGAUGGCUCACUUGCGAUGCUGAGGCAGGACUGCCAUGAGUUUGAGGCUGACUUGGGCCACAAUAAGUUCCAGACCAGCCUAGGCUGCAGUGUAACAGUUCUCAAAAAAAAAGGGGGCGGGGGGCCACUGGGGAGAUAUAGUUCAGUCCAUAAAGUUAUUAGUUAUUGCUCUAAAAUCAAGAGGACCUGAGUUCAGUCCCCAGAACCCACAUU